AAGACUAUACUUUCAGGGAUUAUUUCUAUAGUUCAUCACUAGAGAGGUUUCUCUGAACAUGUAGAGGACCCAAAACCACAAGAAGGAGGCACAGCAUUCUCUCCUGAGUGUGCAGCCAGCUCUUCGUGUUGCUUCUGCAACUGCUAUUUGCUAUUGACAAUUGUUCUCUUCUUUGGGGAGAGUAUGAGGGGAAGGACACUCUCUGAAUGGU
ensembl:snoRNA U3 Small nucleolar RNA U3